UACGUAGGGAGCAAGCGUUGUCCGGAAUCAUUGGGCGUAAAGCGCGCGUAGGUGGCCCCAUAAGUCCGCUGUGAAAGUCAAAGGCUCAACCUUUGAAAGCCGGUGGAUACUGUGGGACUAGAGUACGGAAGAGGCGAGUGGAAUUCCUGGUGUAGCGGUGGAAUGCGCAGAUAUCAGGAGGAACACCAAUAGCGAAAGCAGCUCGCUGGGACGUUACUGACACUGGAGGCGCGAAAGCGUGGGGAGCGAACAGG
rnacentral:rRNA from 1 species